UACGUAGGGUGCAGCGUUGUCCGGAAUUAUUGGGCGUAAAGAGCUCGUAGGCGGUUUGUCGCGUCUGCCGUGAAAGUCCGGGGCUCAACUCCGGAUCUGCGGUGGGUACGGGCAGACUAGAGUGAUGUAGGGGAGACUGGAAUUCCUGGUGUAGCGGUGGAAUGCGCAGAUAUCAGGAGGAACACCGGUGGCGAAGGCGGGUCUCUGGGCCGAUACUGACGCUGAGGAGCGAAAGCGUGGGGAGCAAACAGG
rnacentral:rRNA from 1 species